UAAGAAGCAACAUCUGCUGUACACAACAGGAACAAAAAACACACCCUUGAUCAGACAAUUGCAUCCAGGAGGAGAACAUAGUGAAAGAGAUUUUACAACAAGGUUCUUCAAAAUUGAAAGUGGACAAGAUGAAACUUAAUACAAUACUAGAGGAGAUAAUUGAUGAUGAUGAAUCAAGUGGUCAACAUGAAGAUAUUGGAGAGGAAACAUAGAUCUUAGACUGUUAUUUUUAGAAGAAUUAUUUUUUAAAUUUCUUAUA